GAUGAAGAACGCAGCGGAAUGCGAUAAGUAAUGUGAAUUGCAGAAUUCAGUGAAUCAUCGAAUCUUUGAACGCACAUUGCGCCCGCCAGUAUUCUGGCGGGCAUGCCUGUUCGAGCGUCAUUUCAACCAUCAAGCCCCCGGCUUGUGUUGGGGACCUGCGGCUGCCGCAGGCCCUGAAAACCAGUGGCGGGCUCGCUAGUCACUCCGAGCGUAGUAGUUACAUCUCGCUCAGGGCGUGCUGCGGGUUCCGGCCGUUAAAAGCCUUAUUUACCCAAGGUUGACCUCGGAUCAGGUAGGAAGACCCGCUGAACUUAAGCAUAUCAAUAAGCGGAGGA
rnacentral:misc_RNA from 1 species